UACAGAGGGUGCAAGCGUUGUUCGGAAUUAUUGGGCGUAAAGGGUAGGUAGGUGGUCUCAUUUUGUCUGGGGUGAAAGCCUUGAGCUUAACUCAAGAAGUGCCUCAGAAACGGUGAGACUAGAGUCUUGGAGAGGGUCGUGGAAUUCCCGGUGUAGCGGUGAAAUGCGCAGAUAUCAGGAGGAACACCUAUAGCGAAGGCAGGCUGCUGGGACGUUACUGACGCUAAGGCGCGAAAGCGUGGG
rnacentral:rRNA from 1 species